AUUGAACGCUGGCGGCAGGCCUAACGCAUGCAAGUCGAGCGGCAGCGGAAGGAAGCUUGCUUUCUUGCCGGCGAGCGGCGGACGGGUGAGUAAGGUAUGGGGAUCUGGCCGAAGGCGGGGGAUAACCACUGGAAACGGUGGCUAAUACCGCAUAAUCUCUAAGGAGCAAAGUGGGGGACCGUUCAGGCCUCACACCUUCGGAUGAACCCAUAUGAGAUUAGCUAGUAGGUGGGGUAAUGGCUCACCUAGGCGACGAUCUCUAGCUGGUCUGAGAGGAUGAGCAGCCACACUGGGACCGAGACACGGCCCAGACUCCUACGGGAGGCAGCAGUGGGGAAUAUUGCACAAUGGGCGCAAGCCUGAUGCAGCCAUGCCGCGUGUAUGAAGAAGGCCUUCGGGUUGUAAAGUACUUUCAGUCGUGAGGAAGGUGUUAAGGUUAAUAACCUUAGCAAUUGACGUUAGCGACAGAAGAAGCACCGGCUAACUCCGUGCCAGCCGCCGCAGUAA
rnacentral:rRNA from 1 species